rnacentral:rRNA from 1 species
CGGAUAGAAACUAACCAGGAUUCCCUUAGUAACGGCGAGUGAAGUGGGAACCAAUGCAUUAUAUGUGUGUGUAUUAACUUUCGAGUCAAUCACACACCAUAUGCAUAUAGCCCGUCGAUAGAAUCCAUUCUUAGUUUCAUCACAUUUUAUGUGUGAAACUGGAAGGAAUUGUAGCAUCCAAUACAUACAUGUUGUUUUUGUGCGCGCAAAUACACCCAUACCCACACUCAAAUAUAUAUGGGGAGACCCACACACAUACAUGUGUGUCCCAACCACAAACACACACCGCCCCGCGCUGGAAAGAAAGCUUUAUUGUUUUUUUACUCCCCCCAUAUAGAGGGACAGCCCCCUUUUAUGGGAAACCUUGUG